CUCUGUGCGCGCAUGUGCUGAGUGAGUGGGCGGAGCGUUGAGUGUGAGUGUUUGGCGUGUGCAGACAUGAAUACUUUGGAGCGAAAGUUGGACAAACGUUCGAAGAAAGAUUCCGAAGACGACACCAUUGUGGGAAAGAGAAUCCGUGUUGCCAAACGUCUGUGGGAGGAUGAGGAUGAUGACCCCCUACUGCCGUGGCCACAGUCAGUGGAACCAAAGCUGCCAUUCACAAUCAAGGGGCAGAAAUCCUAGCUGCCAUUUCCUUGGAAGAACAAGCAGAAAAUAGUGACAAUGACCUCUCACUUGUGCGUCAAGAAUUGCUGGAAAUAAAAAAAAUCAUCUUCACAGAGAUACCUCAGAUAAAAGAAAUGCUCAAUAGAAGCUCCAUGCACCUCGGCAGUCCAGGGUCUCUCCCCAGCCCUUCAAACCCUGUUCAAAUAGAAGAAAUUGUCCCGGGUUCAGGGGUUUACGUAUCGCGAAGUGUGUGGCGCUCUGCUUGCCAGGCAUCCAGUGGGACUUCAAUGGCAAGGAUUUUGCUUUGGUUUGACAUUGAAACACUCGUCAAAAGUAAUUUGAAAGGAGGGGAAUCCAAGGUGACAAAGCGGGGAGAUGGGGAGAGAAGAAGCGCCCUGGAUGAAAUGAAAUUAAAAUCUAUAAUGGGUUAAUUAUGAUUUUGCUAUUUGACAUAAUCUGCCACAGGUCUGUAUUUAAAGUGUUGUGAGCCUAGACUCAGUCAAAUCAGCUACUGGACUGACAAGAUUUUAUUUGUAUAUGUUCAAAUUCACAUUCGGCGUUCCAAAAAACAAAAAGUUGGUUUCGAUGAGAGGUGGUGGUGGGUGGUGUUUGGCACUAUGACCCUAUCUCGCCUGCAAAUUAAAUUGGUGCAAAACUGUCCGCCAUGCUUACACACUGAUUGCAGUGUAAGUGUGGUCUUACUUGCAUAUUCACAUACUUUGUCACUCAAUUUUACUGACUUGCACUAGAAGAAACUGCAAUAAAGAUUUUUUUUAAUCUUGGUGAUACAUUUAUUCACCAGUGUUUUGUCUGCUUUAUACCUAAAACUUUUUUCUUUAAAAUCUACCUUCUCAGAUGCAGUUAUGUCAAAGCACUCCGUUUCGGCUGGCCAGAUCGGAACAGCCCUGAAUGGGAAGAUGGCAGAGCUAAGACUGGCAAUGUCCAGGAAAAAUGUUAAUCAAAAAUGAGUGUUUCCCCAGUGAGUGAGUUUGGGAAUAUUUUGAAAUGAAAUACUGAGGGAAAAAAGUGAGCGCUUUGAAAAGGCUUUAAAAAUAAAAUAAAGUCUGAAGUUGAAGUUAAAUGAAGUUAAAGUUUUUACUUGAAAAGUGUGUAGUUGUCAAGUCUGUGCUGAAAAAAAAUGCAUUAAAGUUUGUAUUUGAAAAGACUGAAUUGUGUGUUCUGUGGAAUGAGUACAAAUAUAUGUGCAGGCUGUAUAAAAAACAUAGUUGUGCCACUAAUAUAAGUGAAAGUACAUGGUGUCAUCAUAUUAGAAGCAUAUUUGUAUCCCUAAUA